UUCUCCUGAUUUGACGCAGUGGAACCACCUUUUCCCAUUCCGAACAAAGAAGUGAAACAUUGUAGUGCCGAUGAUACUAUUUUUAUGGGAAAGUAGGUAGUCGGGAGAAC
rnacentral:rRNA from 2 species